AUGAUAAUCCCACUAUUUUGGAAGAGUGUCAACUUCACAUGCAUGUGGAUCGUGUUGAGAAUAUGUUAUGUGAUAGCUAUUUUAUUGAAUUUGCCUAUGAUCCUACAUGUAAUUAUUAUGAGAGAGGAAAAUAUGGUCGUAGAAAUUUUUAUCUUACUAAUUAAAUUACCUCUCGUCAUGUUGAGAUUGCUAUCGUCUCUUUCUUCUUCCUUGCAUAUGCUAGUUUUUGCUUGUCUUACAAGUUUGUUUGCUUAUAAUAUGCCUAUGCAUAGGAAGUAUGUUAGACUUAGUGGGUUUUUCACGUGUUUCAUGAUGCUCUCUUUGGCUUCAAUUCUUGUCUUUCAUGUGAGGAUCAUUAAAAUUAUCAAUGCCUAG
rnacentral:rRNA from 1 species